UGCUGAGGACCAGAUGCUCCGGCUUUAGCCUCUGAAGCAAAUUAAGCUGAAGGAAUUUAGUAGCGGCCUAAAUCUUAAAGGCUGAUUCAGGAAAUGUGGCAGAGGACUCCAAAUUGGGUCAAGGAGGAAACCUCCUGAAAACUUCAGUCACUGUAAACCGCAUCCUUGGGAUUCAUCAUUUUGAAAAGGAAAAGGAAAGGAUAUGUUCCCAAAGCUGCCAGGUGGAGAGGACUAUGUAUGAACUGAGGAAGACCUCUAGUUCAUGGAAAGUGAAGAUGCCUUUGAAAUCCUUUGCAGCCAAAUCCUGCCGGAGAUCAACUGUUCUGAGUUCUGUGGGUUGAAGAUAAAGAGAGGAGGAGGAAGAUGGGAAGAGGAAGAAGAGGAGAAGGAGGAGGAGCAGCUUUAAAGGCCUGUGUCUCCUGUGCUAGUUCCACCAUGUAGACUUUCUCUUGCCUGUAACCCACACUUAUCCCUGCCAUCAUGAUUAAACAUGCU